GACGAACGCUGGCGGCGUGCUUAACACAUGCAAGUCGGACGGUAAGGCCCUUCGGGGUACACGAGUGGCGAACGGGUGAGUAACACGUGGGUGAUCUGCCCUGCACUUCGGGAUAAGCCUGGGAAACUGGGUCUAAUACCGGAUAGGACCCUGGGAUGCAUGUCCUGGGGUGGAAAGCUUUUGCGGUGUGGGAUGGGCCCGCGGCCUAUCAGCUUGUUGGUGGGGUGAUGGCCUACCAAGGCGACGACGGGUAGCCGGCCUGAGAGGGUGACCGGCCACACUGGGACUGAGAUACGGCCCAGACUCCUACGGGAGACAGCAGUGGGGAAUAUUGCACAAUGGGCGCAAGCCUGAUGCAGCGACGCCGCGUGAGGGAUGACGGCCUUCGGGUUGUAAACCUCUUUCAGCACCGACGAAGCGCAAGUGACGGUAGGUGCAGAAGAAGGACCGGCCAACUACGUGCCAGCAGCCGCAGUAA
rnacentral:rRNA from 1 species